UGGAGAGAUGUCCGAGUGGUCGAAGGUGAUUGACUCGAAAUCAAUUGUACGGUUAAUACCGUACCGGGGGUUCAAAUCCCCCUCUCUCCGCCAA
rnacentral:tRNA from 1 species